rnacentral:rRNA from 1 species
UGAGCAACCUGCCCUUGACUCUGGAAUAACAGUUGGAAACAGCUGCUAAUACCGGAUACGACCUCCGACGGCAUCAUCUGGAGGUGGAAAGCUCCGACGGUCAAGGAUGGGCUCGCGGCCUAUCAGCUUGUUGGUGAGGUAACGGCCCACCAAGGCGACGACGGGUAGCCGGCCUGAGAGGGCGACCGGCCACACUGGAACUGAGACACGGCCCAGACUCCGUACGGGAGGNAGCG